rnacentral:rRNA from 1 species
GAGACUCUGUGCGCGUGCAUAUCAAUAAGCGGAGGAAAAGAAACUAACAAGGAUUCCCCUAGUAACGGCGAGUGAAGCGGGAAGAGCUCAAAUUUGAAAUCUUAAAGGGUUUCCCUUUACGAAUUGUAGUUUAAAGAAGUGUUUUCUGUUAGAGAGUUCGGUAAAAGUUCUUUGGAAUAGGACAUCAUAGAGGGUGAGAAUCCCGUAUUUGACCGUUACUUUCCAGCUGUGUGAUACACCUUCAAAGAGUCGGAUUGUCUGGGAAUGCAGUCCAAGAUGGGUGGUAAAUUUCAUCUAAAGCUAAAUAUUGGCGAGAGACCGAUAGCGAACAAGUACCGUGAGGGAAAGAUGAAAAGAACUUUGAAAAGAGAGUUAAACAGUACGUGAAAUUGUCAAAAGGGAAGCGUUUGACACCAGUGUUGUUUAGUUGAAAAUCAAUUCAAUAGUUUUUGAUUCUAAGUAGUAUUGACUUCAUCAGCUUGCUGCUUUCUUCUCAGAAAUUAUUGAAUGCACUUUUCAGUUAACAAGUCAACAUCAAUUUCUUUUGUUGUAAAAGGGUAAGAGGAAGGUGGCUUGCGCUUCGGCUCAAGUGUUUAUAGCCUUUUAUCUCUGCAAUCGGAGAGAUUGAGGUCUGCAGCGUAGAUCCUUCGGGGUUAGAUACAUUGGUGCUAAGCUAUAGCCUUGUAUAGACAACUUGUUGACUAUGCUCAGUCAUGUAGCUUACUCGCUGAUGCUAUUUUACCUACGCUUAGGAUGUUGAACUUAUCACACACAG